rnacentral:rRNA from 1 species
UACGUAGGUGGCAAGCGUUGUCCGGAAUUAUUGGGCGUAAAGGGCGCGUAGGCGGUACCUUAAGUCAGAUGUGAAAACCCGAGGCUUAACUUCGGAGGUGCAUUUGAAACUGGGGAACUAGAGUGCAGGAGAGGUAAGUGGAAUUCCUAGUGUAGCGGUGAAAUGCGUAGAUAUUAGGAGGAACACCAGUGGCGAAGGCGACUUACUGGACUGUAACUGACGCUGAGGCGCGAAAGCGUGGG